GUUUACCGUGAAAAAAUUAGAGUGUUCAAAGCAGGCAGAUUCAAUUUUCUGCCACCGAAUACAUUAGCAUGGGAUAAUGGAAUAGGACCCUGUCCUCCUAUUUUCAGUUGGUUUUGGCAGCGCGAGGACUAGGGUAAUGAUUAAUAGGGAUAGUUGGGGGCAUUAAUAUUUAAUUGUCAGAGGUGAAAUUCUUGGAUUUAUGAAAGAUUAACUUCUGCGAAAGCAUCUGCCAAGGAUGUUUUCAUUAAUCAAGAACGAAAGUUAGGGGAUCGAAGACGAUCAGAUACCGUCGUAGUCUUAACCAUAAACGAUGCCGACCAGCGAUUAGGAGACGUUGAAUACAAAACACCACCAUCGGCGCGGUCGUCCUUGGCGUUCGUGUUCACGCACGGGCGCGAGGGCGGUUUAGCCCGGUGGCACCGGUGAAUGACUCCCUAG
rnacentral:rRNA from 1 species